AUUGAACGCUGGCGGCAGGCCUAACACAUGCAAGUCGAGCGAGCGGCGGAGGGUUGAGUAAUGUAUUGGGACUGCCCGUUCGCGGGGGAUAACUACUGGCAACGGUGGCUAGUACCACAUACUGUUGGGUAACCCAGAUGGGAUUAGCUCGUAGGUGAGGUAAUGGCUUACCUAGGCGACGAUCCCUAGCUGGUCUGAGAGGCUGUUCAGGCACACGGGGACUGAGACACGGCACAGACUCCGACGGAGGCAGCAGUGGGGAAUAUUGCACAAUGGGCGCAAGCCUGAUGCAGCCAUGCCGCGUGUAUGAAGAAGGCCCUAGGGUUGUAAAGGACUUUCAGUCGGGAGGCGUUACCGACAGAAGAAGCACCGGCUAACUCCGUGCCAGCAGCCGCGGUAAUUC
rnacentral:rRNA from 1 species